AGAAUCAACGCUGGCGGCGUGCCUAACACAUGCAAGUCGAACGAGAAAGUGGAGCAAUCCAUGAGUAAAGUGGCGCACGGGUGAGUAACACGUGACUAACCUACCCUUGAGUGGGGGGAUAACCUAGAGAAAUCUGGGCUAAUACCGCAUAAUACCUUCGGGUCAAAGGAGCAAUUCGCUUAAGGAGGGGGUCGCGGCCGAUUAGUUAGUUGGCGGGGUAAUGGCCCACCAAGACUAUGAUCGGUAUCC
rnacentral:rRNA from 1 species